rnacentral:rRNA from 1 species
CCUACGGGCGGCAGCAGUGGGGAAUAUUGCACAAUGGGGGAAACCCUGAUGCAGCGACGCCGCGUGAAGGAAGAAGUAUUUCGGUAUGUAAACUUCUAUCAGCAGGGAAGAAAAUGACGGUACCUGACUAAGAAGCCCCGGCUAACUACGUGCCAGCAGCCGCGGUAAUACGUAGGGGGCAAGCGUUAUCCGGAUUUACUGGGUGUAAAGGGAGCGUAGGCGGCGAUGCAAGUCAGAAGUGAAAGCCCGGGGCUCAACUCCGGGACUGCUUUUGAAACUGUGUUGCUAGAUUGCAGGAGAGGUAAGUGGAAUUCCUAGUGUAGCGGUGAAAUGCGUAGAUAUUAGGAGGAACACCAGUGGCGAAGGCGGCUUACUGGACUGUAAAUGACGCUGAGGCACGAAGGCCAGGGGAGCGAAAGGGAUUAGAUACCCCUGUAGUG